GUGCCAGCAGCCGCGGUAAUACGUAGGGUCCGAGCGUUAUCCGGAAUCAUUGGGCGUAAAGCGCAUGUAGGCGGCCACGUAAGUCGGAUGUGAAAUCCCAGGGCUCAACCCUGGAACUGCAUCCGAUACUGCAUGGCUUGAGGAAGGUAGAGGAGAGUGGAAUUCCCGGUGUAGCGGUGGAAUGCGCAGAUAUCGGGAGGAACACCAGCGGCGAAGGCGGCUCUCUGGGCCUCUCCUGACGCUGAGAUGCGAAAGCGUGGGUAGCGAACAGGAUUAGAUACCCUGGUAGUCCACGCCGUAAACGAUGGGUGCUAGGUGUGGGGAUCAGUUCACGAUCUCCGUGUCGAAGCUAACGCGUUAAGCACCCCGCCUGGGGACUACGGCCGCAAGGCUAAA
rnacentral:rRNA from 1 species